rnacentral:rRNA from 1 species
UACGUAGGGGCCUAGCGUUGUCCGGAUUUAUUGGGCGUAAAGAGCUCGUAGGCGGUUCGGUAAGUCAGGUGUGAAAUCUCCACGCUCAACGUGGAGGCGCCACCUGAAACUGCCGUGACUCGAGUCCGGAAGAGGAGAGUGGAAUUCCUGGUGUAGCGGUGAAAUGCGCAGAUAUCAGGAAGAACACCCGUGGCUAAGGCGGCUCUCUAGUACGGUACUGACGCUGAGACGCGAAAGCGUGGGGAGCGAACAGG